rnacentral:rRNA from 1 species
GUGCCAGCAGCCGCGGUAAUACGUAGGUGGCAAGCGUUGUCCGGAAUUAUUGGGCGUAAAGCGCGCGCAGGCGGCUUCUUAAGUCUGAUGUGAAAGGCUGCGGCUCAACCGCAGACGGUCAUUGGAAACUGGGGAGCUUGAGGGCAGAAGAGGAGAGUAGAAUUCCACGUGUAGCGGUGAAAUGCGUAGAGAUGUGGAGGAAUACCGGUGGCGAAGGCGGCUCUCUGGUCUGCAGCUGACGCUGAGGCGCGAAAGCGUGGGGAGCAAACAGGAUUAGAUACCCUGGUAGUUCACGCCGUAAACGAUGAGUGCUAGGUGUAGAGGGUAUCGACCCCCUCUGUGCCGGAGUUAACACAAUAAGCACUCCGCCUGGGGAGUACGGCCGCAAGGUUGAAACUCAAAUGAAUUGACGG